UUUCUUAUAUAGGCACCUAUUCCCCCUCCCCAUUUUUUCACAGGUGCUAUCUUUACACCACACUCCUUGCUGAAUUUACGAGCACUCCAGUUUGGAAGUGCUACACACCACGGGGAUCAGGCCUCAGCCAGAGGCUUUGCCAGACCUGGUGGCAGAUUCGAUCGGCGUUCAUGUUUUGCGCUUUUCAGCUACUGGCAUGUUUGUAGCCAGGGCAUUGUUUUGGGUCCACGGAGGGCACCGGCAUCCCUAAGACUUGAGUUUAUGACCCCAGUUCUUGGUACUUAGAAAGAAGAGUUUAAAAACAAAAAAACCCACAGGGACAUCAGUCAGACCCGGGAUCAUCCCGCCUCGUGUCCUGUGUCCAACACGGGGCGGUAUCAGCUGCUUCAGAGGAAGGAGCAGAAAACCCAGCAGAAGGUUGCUGUGGAAUAACCUGCCCCAGGGACAAGGAAGAAAUGUUCCCUGUUCCCAUCAGAGUGAGACGUUCUUCCUAACCCCAUUAGUCAGCAUUUGGCUAGUGGCUUGAGGCAGAAAGCGUUUAAAUAUAGAGACUCUUGUAUUUUAGAAGGUUUUACUAUUCUAACUCGACAUUUCCUUGUUCUCUAGCUAAAUGUCCAGUCCUUCCUUUGAGUCCUGCUCAGCUCUUGGCUUCAGUGAUGUCUUGUGGCAAUGAUUUCCCCUGACUUAA